rnacentral:rRNA from 1 species
ACCCGCUGGAAUUAAGCAUAUCAAUAAGCGGAGGAAAAACCCCCGGGGGGGAUUGGCCUCAGUAACGGCGAGUGAAGCGGCAAGAGCUCAAAUUUGAAAGCUGGCUCCUUCGGAGUCCGCAUUGUAAUUUGCAGAGGAUGCUUUGGGUGCGGCCCCCGUCUAAGUGCCCUGGAACGGGCCGUCAGAGAGGGUGAGAAUCCCGUCUUGGGCGGGGUGUCCGUGCCCGUGUAAAGCUCCUUCGACGAGUCGAGUUGUUUGGGAAUGCAGCUCUAAAUGGGUGGUAAAUUUCAUCUAAAGCUAAAUACUGGCCGGAGACCGAUAGCGCACAAGUAGAGUGAUCGAAAGAUGAAAAGCACUUUGAAAAGAGAGUUAAACAGCACGUGAAAUUGUUGAAAGGGAAGCGCUUGCGACCAGACUCGCCCGCGGGGUUCAGCCGGCAUUCGUGCCGGUGUACUUCCCCGUGGGCGGGCCAGCGUCGGUUUGGGCGGCCGGUCAAAGGCCCCUGGAAUGUAGUGCCCUCCGGGGCACCUUAUAGCCAGGGGUGCAAUGCGGCCAGCCUGGACCGAGGAACGCGCUUCGGCACGGACGCUGGCAUAAUGGUCGUAAACGACCCGUCUUGAAACAACGGAC